rnacentral:sRNA from 1 species
UUUUAGCCCUGAUAGUAGUGGAAAUCCUUUUGUGUCCGCCGCGGCAGACAUAAAAGAUUGCAACGUCCCGAAGCUUCG